UAAAUUUGCAACGUAUCGAUGUCAACGUUCACAAAAACCAAAACCGGACAAACAUUAGACUACUCAGUUGCGCCCUAACAGUAUAACUUUACAACGAGUACUUUUUCUCCUUCAACCGAACAAAGAGUAAAACCUAAUUAUAUUGUUCCAUUAUGCCCCGAGAGUGUAAAUUUGCAACGUAUCGAUGUCAACGUUCACAAAAACCAAAACCGGACAAAUAUUAGACUACUCAGUUGUGCCCUAACAGUAUAACUUUACAUCGAGUACUUUUUCUCCUUCAACCGAACAAAGAGUAAAACCUAAUUAUAUUGUUCCAUUAUGCCCCGAGAUUGUAAAUUUGCAACGUAUCGACGUCAAUAUUCACAAGAACCAAAAUCGGAAAAAUAUUAGACUACUCAGUUGCUCCCUAACAGUGUAACUUUGCAAGAGUACUUUUUCUCAUUCAAUCAAAUAAAGAGUAAAACCAAAUUAUAUUAUUCUAUUAUGCCCCGAGUGUAUAAAUUUGCAACGUAUCGAUGUCAACGUUCACAAGAACCAAAACCGGAACAACAUUAGACUACUCAGUUACGCCCUAGCAGUAUAACUUUGCAAACAGUGCUUUUUCUCAUUCAAUCGAACAAAGAGAAAAACCCAAUUAUAUUGUUCUAUUAUUCCCCGAGAGUGUAAAUUUGCAACGUAUCAAUGUCAACGUUUACAAGAACCAAAUUCGAGAAAACAUUAGACAACUCAGUUGCUUCCUAACAGUAUAACUUUACAUUGAGUACCAUUUCUAAUUACAUCGUUCUAUUAUGCCGCGAGAGUGUAAAUUUGCAACGUAUCAAUUUCAACGUUCACAAAAACCAAAACCGGACCAACAUUAGACUACUAAGUUGCGCCCUAACAAUAUAACUUUGCAACGAGUACUUUUUCUCCUUCAACUGAACAAAGUGUAAAAUCUAAUUAUAUUGUUCUAUUAUGCCCCGAGAGGGUAAAUUUGCAACGUAUCGAUGUUAUCGUUCAGAAAAAUCAAAAUUGGACCAACAUUAGACUACUAAGUUGCGUCCUAACAGUAUAACUUUGCAACGAGUACUUUUUCUCCUUCUACCGAAGAAAGAGUAAAACCUAAUUAUGUUGUUCCACUAUGCCCCGAGAGUGUAAAUUUGCCACGUAUCGAUGUCAAUGUUCACAAGAACCAAAACCGGAAAAACAUUAGACUACUCAAUUGCUCCAUAACUGUAUAACUUUGCAAUGAGUACUUUUUCUCAUUCAAUCAAACAAAGAUUAAAAUCUAAUUAUAUUAUUCUAUUAUGCCCCGAGUGUGUAAAUUUGCAACGUAUCGAUGUCAACGUUCAUAAAAACCAAAACCGGACAAACAUUAGACUACUCAGUUGCUCCCUAACAGUAUAACUUUGCAAUGAGUACUUUUUCUCAUUCAAUCAAACAAAGAGUAAAACCUAAUUAUAUUAUUCUAUUAUUCCCCGAGUGUGUAAAUUUGCAACGUAUCGAUGUCAACGUUCACAAAAACCAAAACCGGACAAACAUUAGACUACUCAGUUGCGCCCUAACAGUAUAACUUUACAACGAGUACUUUUUCUCCUUCAACCGAACAAAGAGUAAAACCUAAUUAUAUUGUUCCAUUAUGCCCCGAGAGUGUAAAUUUGCAACGUAUCGAUGUCAAUGUUCACAAGAACCAAAAUCGGAAAAAUAUUAGACUACUCAGUUGCUCUAUAACAGUAUAACUUUGCAAUGAGUACUUUUUCUCAUUCAAUCAAACAAAGAGUAAAACCUAAUUAUAUUAUUAUAUUAUGCCCCGAGUGUGUAAAUUUGCAACGUAUCGAUGUCAACGUUCACAAAAACAAGAACGGAACAAACAUUAGACUACUCAAUUGCGCUCUAACAGUAUAACUUUACAACUAGUUCUUUUUCUCCUUCAACCGAACAAAGAGUAAAACCUAAUUAUAUUGUUCCAUUAUGCCCCGAGAGUGUAAAUUUGCAACGUAUUGACGUCAAUGUUCACAAGAACCAAAAUCGGUGAAAUAAUAGACUACUCAGUUGCUCCCUAACAGUGUAACUUUGCAAUGAGUACUUUUUUUAUUCAAUCAAACAAAUAGUAAAUCCUAAUUAUAUUAUUCUAUUAUGCCCCGAGUGUGUAAAUUUGCAUCGUGUCGAUGUCAACGUUCACAAAAACUAAAACCGGACAAACAUUAGACUGCUCAGUUGCGUCCUAUAACUUUACAACGAGUACUUUUUCUCAUUCAACCGAACAACGAGUAAAACCUAAUUAUAUU
rnacentral:lncRNA from 1 species